UACAGAGGUCCCAAGCGUUGUUCGGAUUCAUUGGGCGUAAAGGGUGCGUAGGUGGCAUGGUAAGUCGGGUGUGAAAUCCCGGGGCUCAACCCCGGAACUGCACUCGAUACUGCCGUGCUCGAGUACUGGAGAGGAGACUGGAAUUUACGGUGUAGCAGUGAAAUGCGUAGAUAUCGUAAGGAAGACCGGUGGCGAAGGCUAGUCUCUGGACAGUUACUGGACACUGAGGCACGAAGGCCAGGGGAGCAAACGGG
rnacentral:rRNA from 1 species